CAGCAACGCCGCGUGAGCGAUGAAGGCCUUCGGGUCGUAAAGCUCUGUCCUCAAGGAAGAUAAUGCGGUACUUGAGGAGAAGCCCCGGCUAACUACGUGCCAGCAGCCGCGGUAAUACGGGAGCCAGCACCGCGGUAAUACAGGGCCAGCAGCCGCGGUAAUACGGGAGCCAGCAGCCGCGGUAAUA
rnacentral:misc_RNA from 1 species